UACCAGAGCUGGAUGAAGCAUUCCAGGCAGCUGUCUCACCAGAGAACUGCAUUUUGGAGUCUUAUUCCAGUUGAAACCCAUGUGAUCAGCCUCUUUCGGCCAACUCCACCAGUUUACAAACUGAACGGGCCCUGCUGUGAUAUGGAAUAUCCCUUUGGCCAGUUUGACUUGGCUGUCCUGUCCCCACUGAGUUCUUCUGCACCUACUCACCGUCAGAGCAUGGGGAACUGAAAAGUCCUUAACUUGGACUGUAUUUAACAGAUUAUCGAAAUCAAAACAAGUUUGUACGGAGGCAGCUGAGAACCUUAUGUGCAUUUUUGCAGAUUUUUUUGAGUCAAAUAUGCAGUAACAGUCAAUGCAAUGUAAGAAAA